CGGGGCGCGGGCCCCGCGGCUGAGCCCCGGCGGCGGCGCGGGCAGCAGCCGCCUCUGAGCUCGGUGCGCGCCGCUCCGCUCCCUGGUGUGUUGAUUCUUCCCCCAGCUGCUGCCUAAUGGAGUCCGGGCUUCGCGUCACAGGAAAUGCCUAUACUGCCCUCCGCGCUCACUUCCGGCAGCAGGACCGCUGAGGAAUGCUUCCUCGGGCACAGCUAUUUGUCACUGCCUUAGAAGCUGCUUGGCUGCAGAAGGGACACAGCCUCUGGUCCUGGUGAGAAGCUUUUGGAGAUUUUGAAGCAGGCCUUUUCCCUGGCUGAAGGCAGCACUUGAAAGUGGAGUCUCUUAUGGAAGGAUUAGUAGAGGGAGGAGUCAGCCAUUAGGACACCAUGCACAUAGCAAUCCUCACCAUGACCACCAACCUCCCUGCUGACUCAUCUGCCCAUAGCGUGAUUAACCUGGAGGGGGACAAGCAGAUGUCAUGAUCCAAGAAGAUACAGGAUGAGGCUUGCCCCAGGAGUUUCUGGCAUCCUCACCAGUGAGCGACUCCACAAGAACUGGGUGUGGCCCCAGCAAGUGGGCACAGCAAGGGAGGAAAAUAUCCGGGGAGAAAGUGUCUCCCCUGAACACCAGCCUGAGAAUUGUGGAGGGGUGCCUCCCAGUCUGCAUUCUGCAUGGAAAUCUAAUGUUCAUCACAGCUGGAGACAAUAGCCCCAUCUUUGGGCAUAGUCAAAGAAGUAUGUAAGGAGUCCACAGGAAGUUGGUAAGAGACAAUGGUGCUUCAGGUGAAACAGAAAGAGAGUCACACAGAAUGGAUUUGUCUCCUAAAGCACGGAUGGCCAUAAUUGAAUCCUCUCUUGUGCGUGUUCCCCUCUUCUAGUCUUUCAGGUUUGAGGAGAAGAGAUGGCUCUGGCUUCCAAAAGUAGCCUUGUGGCUGCAGGAGAACUGACUCUGCCUAACCAUUUUUAUGUUUCCCAUGUAAAAUUUAACAGCGUCUUAAACAGAGCUUCUCUAAAGAUCAAAGGUGCCCAGCUGAAUGGGAAUCUGUUUUGCAAAUUUAAUACUUUUUCCUUCAGCUCCCCCUCCCCACCAGUGGGCGAAAUAUUGUGCCACAGGGCCAAAGAAUCCAGUUUAGGGAGGAACCUCCUUCACAUUCCCAGCCAGACACUUUUUUCCUUCUUGUAACUUUCCAGUAGUCAUUUAGGGAAUAGGAUUGGUAACUCUGACGCCUGGUGGUCAAUUGAAAAAAUGCACCCUGGAGGAAUUGAAUGUCCACUUUUAUCAUUUAAAAUUUUAAUUUUCUGCUUCCAAUUGUAAUGUAUACAUGACACAUUUUAUUAUUAGUGAUUAUAUUAUU